GCUCAGGAUGAACGCUGGCGGCGUGCCUAAUACAUGCAAGUCGAACGCUUCACUUCGGUGAAGAGUGGCGAACGGGUGAGUAAUACAUAAGUAACCUGGCAUCUACAGGGGGAUAACUGAUGGAAACGUCAGCUAAGACCGCAUAGGUGUAGAGAUCGCAUGAACUCUAUAUGAAAAGUGCUACGGGACUGGUAGAUGAUGGACUUAUGGCGCAUUAGCUUGUUGGUAGGGUAACGGCCUACCAAGGCGACGAUGCGUAGCCGACCUGAGAGGGUGACCGGCCACACUGGGACUGAGACACGGCCCAGACUCCUACGGGAGGCAGCAGUAGGGAAUUUUCGGCAAUGGGGGAAACCCUGACCGAGCAACGCCGCGUGAAGGAAGAAGUAAUUCGUUAUGUAAACUUCUGUCAUAGAGGAAGAACGGUGGAUAUAGGGAAUGAUAUCCAAGUGACGGUACUCUAUAAGAAAGCCACGGCUAACUACGUGCCAGCAGCCGCGGUAAUACGUAGGUGGCGAGCGUUAUCCGGAAUUAUUGGGCGUAAAGAGGGAGCAGGCGGCACUAAGGGUCUGUGGUGAAAGAUCGAAGCUUAACUUCGGUAAGCCAUGGAAACCGUAGAGCUAGAGUGUGUGAGAGGAUCGUGGAAUUCCAUGUGUAGCGGUGAAAUGCGUAGAUAUAUGGAGGAACACCAGUGGCGAAGGCGACGAUCUGGCGCAUAACUGACGCUCAGUCCCGAAAGCGUGGGGAGCAAAUAGGAUUAGAUACCCUAGUAGUCCACGCCGUAAACGAUGAGUACUAAGUGUUGGGUGUCAAAGCUCAGUGCUGCAGUUAACGCAAUAAGUACUCCGCCUGAGUAGUACGUUCGCAAGAAUGAAACUCAAAGGAAUUGACGGGGG
rnacentral:rRNA from 1 species